rnacentral:rRNA from 1 species
GGUAAGUCCUGCCCAGUGAAUUAAGGUUUAAACGGCCGCGGUAUCCUGACCGUGCAAAGGUAGCAUAAUCACUCGCCUUUUAAUUGGAGGCUUGUAUGAAUGGAUAAACGAGGGAUAAGCUGUCUCAUGAGAAUAAUAAAAAUUACUGAUUCAGGUGAAGAUCCCUGAAUAAAAUUAAAAGACAAGAAGACCCUAUAGAGUUUUACUUUAAAUUAAAACAAGAUAAGAUAUUUAUACUUUAAUAUAUUUAAUUAAGUUUAGUUGGGGCGACUAAGGAACACACAAACCUUCCUUAAAAAAAAGAAAUUAAAUUCUAAAAAUGAUCCUAAUAAGAUUAAAAAAAUAACAUUACCUUAGGGAUAACAGGCUAAUCUCCCCAGAGAGCCCAAAUUGACGGGGAGGGUUGGCACCUCGAUGUUGGCUUAAGACACCUCUUGGAUGUAGAAGUCCAAAAAUGUUGG